UUUGCCCUUGUCUGCUGGGCUUUAAAUGCAGAAUAGGCAGUGCGCAGAGUGGCUGCGCGUUUACAAAUAAAAUCUGGCCGAAGGAGAGA
rnacentral:ncRNA from 1 species